rnacentral:rRNA from 1 species
UACGUAGGUGGCAAGCGUUGUCCGGAUUUAUUGGGUUUAAAGGGUGCGUAGGCGGGCUGCCAAGUUUGGGGUGAAAUCCUCCGGCUCAACCGGGGAAGUGCCUCGAAUACUGGCGGUCUGGAGGGAGGUAGGGGCGUGCGGAACUAACGGUGGAGCGGUGAAAUGCGUUGAUAUCGUUAGGAACUCCGGUGGCGAAGGCGGCACGCUAGACCUCUUCUGACGCUGAGGCACGAAAGCCAGGGGAGCGAACGGG